GUGUCAGCAGCCGCGGUAAGACGUAGGGGGCAAGCGUUGCUCGGAAUCACUGGGCUUAAAGGGCGCGUAGGCGGUUGUGUAAGUCCAGGGUUGAAGGCCCCGGCUCAACCGGGGAAAGGCCUUGGAGACUGCAUGACUUGAGUGAGCGAGGGGAGGGCGGAAUUCCUGGUGUAGCGGUGAAAUGCGUAGAUAUCAGGAGGAAGGCCUGUGGCGAAGGCGGCCCUCUGGCGCUCAACUGACGCUGAGGCGCGAAAGCGUGGGUAGCAAACAGGAUUAGAUACCCUGGUAGUCCACGCCCUAAACGGUGGGCACUAGGUGUGGGGCUCGAGAGGGUUCCGUGCCGAAGGGAAACCAAUAAGUGCCCCGCCUGGGAAGUACGGCCGCAAGGCUGAAACUCAAAGGAAUUGGCGGGG
rnacentral:rRNA from 1 species